rnacentral:rRNA from 1 species
GAAUCUUAGACAAUGGGCGCAAGCCUGAUCUAGCGAUGCCGCGUGAGUGACGAAGGCCUUAGGGUCGUAAAGCUCUUUCGCCAGGGAUGAUAAUGACAGUACCUGGUAAAGAGACCCCGGCUAACUCCGUGCCAGCCGCCGCGGUAAUACGGAGGGGGUUAGCGUUGUUCGGAAUUACUGGGCGUAAAGCGCACGUAGGCGGAUUGGACAGUUGGGGGUGAAAUCCCGGGGCUCAACCCCGGAACUGCCUCCAAAACUACCAGUCCAGAGUUCGAGAGAGGUGAGUGGAAUUCCGAGUGUAGAGGUGAAAUUCGUAGAUAUUCGGAGGAACACCAGUGGCGAAGGCGGCUCACUGGCUCGAUACUGACGCUGAGGUGCGAAAGCGUGGGGAGCAAACAGG